GAUCAUGGCUCAGAUUGAACGCUGGCGGCAGGCUUAACACAUGCAAGUCGAACGGUAACAUAAAGAAGCUUGCUUCUUUGAUGACGAGUGGCGGACGGGUGAGUAAUGCUUGGGAAUCUAGCUUAUGGAGGGGGAUAACUACGGGAAACUGUAGCUAAUACCGCGUAGAAUCGGAAGAUGAAAGUGUGGGACCUUCGGGCCACAUGCCAUAGGAUGAGGCCCAAGUGGGAUUAGGUAGUUUGG
rnacentral:rRNA from 1 species